GGCUAAACUGGGAGAAUCACUUGAGUCCCAGGGGUUCAAACCUGCAGUAAGCUGUGAUCAGGUGACUGCAUUCCAGCCUGAGCAACAGAGUGAAACCCUACCAAAAAAAAAAAAACAACAAAAAACCUUAAGUAACAGCUUAGAUUAAAACCGUCAUAAUUCAAAAUUAUAAAAGGAAUACUGGGCGCAGUGGUUCAUGCCAGUAACCCCUCCAAGACAGGUGGAUCGCUUGAACCUGGGAGUCCAAGACCACCCUGGGAACAUGGUAAAACCCAAUCUCUACGAAAAAUACAAAAAUUAGCUGGGCAGGGUGGCAUGCACCUGUAGUCCCAGCUACUCAGGAGGCUGACCUGGGAGAAUCAUCUGAUUUCAGUCUGGGAGGCGAAGGCUGUGCGAGACCCUGUCUCAAAAAAUAAAUAAAAAUAAAGAAAUGAAAGAAAAAAUUGUAAAGGACAGAAUGCAGUUUAGCUGAUGUUGACAGAGGAAAUUUAAUAAAGAAAAAAUGAGUUUGCAUGAUUUGAGAGUUUUUGAAAGGUUUGAUGCAUCUGAUUAAAUUUCUUGAACACAUGGCUUUCUUUGGAUCUUAGUGUCAAAAAUCGAAACAGCUAAAAUAAUAAAGUACUUGGAUUUCCUUAUAUGUCAUAAGCUUUGCAAAUUCCAAUAAAAAUUCUUAGGAACUCUUUUGUCUCUCAUGUGUGUAUGUAUCAUAUUGUGGUUGUCUUUUGUUAAUUAAGUUUUUUGUUACUAAAGCUAGUUGAUUACAAGACCUACUUAAUAUUCAGUAUAUGCCACACUUUCUUCUAGGAAUUAUAAUUCCCACAAAAACCUUAGAAGUAAGUUCUUUUCUCAUUUUCACAAAUAAGGUUACUGAGGCACAGAGAGACUAACUUGCUCAAGUUUACACAAACGACAAGAUACGAAUGUCAUACAGUAAAUUCACAGCCUGUAUACAUCUUAGUAGAUUUUAC